rnacentral:rRNA from 1 species
UACGAAGGGGGCUAGCGUUGCUCGGAAUCACUGGGCGUAAAGGGCGCGUAGGCGGAUCUUUAAGUCGGGGGUGAAAGCCUGAGGCUCAACCUCAGAAUUGCCUUCGAUACUGGAGAUCUUGAGACCGGAAGAGGUAAGUGGAACUGCGAGUGUAGAGGUGAAAUUCGUAGAUAUUCGGAAGAACACCAGUGGCGAAGGCGGCUCACUGGCCCGGUACUGACGCUGAGGUGCGAAAGCGUGGGGAGCAAACAGG